rnacentral:rRNA from 1 species
UACGGGGGGGCAAGCGUUGUUCGGAAUUACUGGGCGUAAAGGGCUCGUAGGUGGCCAACUAAGUCGGACGUGAAAUCCCUCGGCUUAACCGGGAACUGCGUCCGAUACUGGUUGGCUUGAGUUGGGAGAGGGAUGCGGAAUUCCAGGUGUAGCGGUGAAAUGCGUAGAUAUCUGGAGGAACACCGGUGGCGAAGGCGGCAAUCCUGGACCAAUACUGACGCUGAGGAGCGAAAGCGUGGGGAGCAAACAGG